AUAAAGAAGUCUGGCUGGAUGUUCACCCAGCUCUACCACUCCUUCAUCUCCACUGUCCUCAACCCCCUGGUCUCACGUACAUCCAUCAACGGGUUCCUAGGUCGUGUCUCUGUUUGUGUUCACUGCGAAUCAGUUUCAGCAGCUGCUCCGCGUCGCUCCCGAGUGGCGAGGGGAGAGACUGCUGGACCUAGGGGUUGGGGACAGGGGAGUCACUGAGGUGAUGGGAGCCCAUUUCAGAGAAGUCUACACCACUGAGGUCUCCUCCCAUGAAGUGGCAAGCUUUUAGGUAUUGAUGAGUGGCAMCAUACUGGGUUCCAGUAUGACCUGAUCAGCUGUUUCAAUCUGCUGGACCGCUAUGACGGCCCCAUGGAUCUCCUCAGGGGCAUCCAUCGCUCGCUGGUGCCCGGCACAGGGAGACUCAUCCUGGCCACUGUCCUGCCCUUCCAGCCCUGGGUGUAGAUAGGUAGGAAGCAUCCCAGAGAGCACAUCAAAGUGACUGGGAAGAAGUGAGAGGAGCAAGUCACCAACCUGUCAAUGAGGUGUUCCAGGAGGUGGGGUUUGAGGUGGAGGCAGGGACUCGGCUGCCAUACCUGUGUGAGGGAGACACGUACAAAGAUUACUAUGUACUGGACGAUGCCGUCUUUGUCCUGAAACCUGUGGAGGAGUGAAGUCAGUUACUGUAUCUUGAAAUGCUUCUGAAUUGUCCAAAAUUUCAUCCAUUUCUUCCUUCCUUCAUCAGCACUAAUCUUAAACUGAUUAUCUUUCCAACGGGACUGAACAAGUGAGAGGUUUUUACAAUGUUGCUUUCACCCAACUUGUGUUUUCAGAUGAAUGCAGACUGAGUAGAAGAGAGGAAGCCACUUCAGACUAUUGAGAUGCAUCCUCUGAAUAUUCCUAGAGCGUCUGUGUACAGUAGAAGAUUUAAUCUUACUGGUAGGUGCUAUUAGCAACGUGGGUGU